UACAGAGGUCUCAAGCGUUUGUUCGGAUUCAUUGGGCGUAAAGGGUGCGUAGGCGGCGCGGUAAGUCGGGGUGUGAAAUCUCGGAGCUUAACUCCGAAACUGCAUUCGAUACUGCCGUGCUUGAGGACUGGAGAGGAGACUGGAAUUUACGGUGUAGCGGUGAAAUGCGUAGAUAUCGUAAGGAAGACCAGUGGCGAAGGCGGGUCUCGUGGACAGUUCCUGACGCUGAGGCACGAAGGUCAGGGGGAGCAAACGGGG
rnacentral:rRNA from 1 species